CAUUGUCAUGUAUUUACAGCGUAAAUAGGAAAUAUCCAACUGGUGUUAAAUACUAUUCACAGAAAGAUUGCAAUACUACGCUGAUAAUUCAACUAUAAUAAGUAUUGUUCGUAAAUAUUAAACAAUGUGAUAUGAAUGUUCUAUGGAUAUACAAAAUAUAUUGUCUUAGUUAGCUACAAAACGUGGAUAAGAAGAAUAUAACCAUAGAAAACAUAUGGCCAACCUAUUUACAUUCCUGCUGAGCGUUCUUAUGUUAGUAAGACAAUGGGAAACACUGUCUGCAGAAACAUGUACCUAUUCGAGAACACCUGACUAUAAAACAAUAAUCCAAGAUCAAUUGAGCGUCUCCUCUACAAACAGCAUAGAUAUGUGUGAAGAUGCAUGCACCGCCAACUCGGCGUGUUUAUCAUUAUAUUAUAAAGAUCCUCUGUGUUAUUUAUCAAACACCGCUGACAAGGUAUCUAACCCGAAUGAUAAUAAUACCUAUUCUUUAAAAUCAUGUGCGCCAGAUACCACUACGUCCUCUGGUAAUUGCAAUUUGGUUACACAAAAUGACACAAAAGGGGGAAGUAAUCCAUUUACUAAAAUAAUAAGUGUGGACGAAAUCUCUUGUCGUGAUUUAUGUAGAUAUUUGGAUGAUUGUAAAUCUGUGACGUAUAAUGGAAUGCAGUGUAAACUUUAUAGUGGAAAUACAAGCACUUCCGUUCUGAUCGGAAGUAAACACGCAGUCAAAACGGACUGUUAUAGUGGUAUUGAAUGUUGUUUAAAUACUGCUGAGAAUACAACUGGAGGGAAUGAUCAAGCUUUAACAUUUACACCAGAUCUGAAUUCAUGCCAGUCUUUAUGUGCGUUAUAUUCGUCUUGUACUGGUGUGUACUGGAAGGCACCGGAAUGUACCUUAUAUACAUCCGAGACAACCACUGGUGCUGAAUUAGGAAGUAUCUAUAUUUCUAAAGAAUGUCCAACAGGUGUUACAAUGGGAACCGGUACAUUUACAAGUCUCUGCAUUGUUAAAUCUGGAGGCGUGAUGGUUGCCAUGGAUACUCGUAUACUAGUAUUGAUUAUGAUUGGUUUGUUUGUGAAUAAAUACAAGACCCACAUAUUUUGAUGUAAACAUAAUAUCGACAAAAACUGUUUUCAUAUUUUUAUAUCUGGCAAUAUUGUAAAUAUUAUAUCUUAUAAAACAAAAUAUUUUUUGUAUCGUAUGGCGUACCCAUGCCUCAAUCCUUGUUCACUGAAUAGUUUACUCUAAAUUCCCAAUCUACUGGAAUGGAUGACCGGAAGUUUCUUGUGUUAAACGACCAUUGAGAAGACUCUAUGUUAAUAAUUAAAUGGAAAUGUGGGAUCAAACCCCCAGUUGCACAGAUGAAAUGCCUUGUGAACUAGAGCGCAAGCUUCCUCCCUUAGUUCCGAGGUGUAAAGGGAGCUAAUUCUUAACUUGAAAUGAGUACAUCUAGAAUACCGCUUAUUUUAAAGGAACACUGCUAGAUGUGGUGAUAUUUCACUAUCUAUUCUAAGCUACACCACAAUCGAAAUAUCAACAAUCUGUAUAUCUUCUGAUAAUGUAUAUGCUUCAGUUAAAUAAACCUUAAUUCUUUUAAACGGUAUCACUAAAAGGAUUAAUGAUGUCUUUAGAUUA